rnacentral:rRNA from 1 species
AGCAGCCGCGGUAAUACGUAGAGUGCAAGCGUUGUCCGGAAUUAUUGGGCGUAAAGGGUACGCAGGCGGAUAAUCAAGUCAAGCGUGAAAGGUGUCGGCUUAACCGACAGACUGCGUUUGAAACUGGUUAUCUUGAGUGUAACAGAGGAGAGUGGAAUUCCUAGUGUAGUGGUGAAAUACGUAGAUAUUAGGAAGAACACCAGUGGCGAAGGCGACUCUCUGGGUUAACACUGACGCUGAGGUACGAAAGCUGGGGGAGCGAACGGGAUUAGAUACCCCGGUAGUCCCAGCCGUAAACGAUGGAUACUAGGUGUUGGAGGUUCGAAUCCUUCAGUGCCGGAGUUWUCGCAUUAAGUAUCCCGCCUGGGGAUUACGAU